UAGGUCGACCCGCUGAAUUUAAGCAUAUCACUAAGCGGAGGAAAAGAAACUAACCAGGAUUCCCCUAGUAACGGCGAGUGAAGAGGGAAAAGCCCAGCACCGAAGCCUGCGGCAGUUUUGCUGUUAGGCAAUGUGGUGUUUAGGCCGGCUCGUGGGACCGUCGCUCCACUCGAAGUCCAGCAUUGAGUAUGGCUCUAUCCCAGAGAGGGUGAAAGGCCCGUUCGAGUGGAUGCUGUUACUUGACGGUUCAUCAGGCCGGCCUUCGAGUCGGGUUGUUUGAGAAUGCAGCCCAAAGCGGGUGGUAAACUCCAUCCAAGGCUAAAUACUGGCACGAGUCCGAUAGCGAACAAGUACCGUGAGGGAAAGUUGAAAAGUACUCUGAAGAGAGAGUAAACAGCACGUGAAGCCGUAUAGAGGUAAACGGGUGGCGUCAAGCUGCUAGCCUGGAGGAUUCAGUUGGUCAUCGUGAAACGCACGCCUUGGUGCGACAGCCGGUAAUAGUUAGGUAGUCCGCUGGGUAACGGCGGGCCCGGCCGCAAGGCUGGGAUGUAUGUUCCACACGGUUGGUGGUGUACGCUACUGAUACUACAGGGCUGGAUGGCCAGUGCACUUUCUCCAUUAAGGCGAACACCACGACCAGUGGUACUGCCAGUCUGGCGUAGUCAAGUUGCGCCUAGUGCGGCAUUUCUGCUACCUAGGUGCGAUCACAGGCAUUUCGGUGGACGGUGGGCUUCGGCUCAUGUUAUCGGUCACUGGUUGUCAACGGGUCUGUCUGCUUUGGAGCUUGUAGCGCCUAGUGGAUGGCCUGGUGGGCUACGCUGGUAUGCAUAACUGUGCAGGGCACUGGAUUUAUCGGCCUCAUACCCGGUUUGGCGCGCACGCUACAAGUGUGUAGUGGCGGCGUUGGUGCAACCUGUCGUUGACUGGGCCUGAUUACCGUGUCGCCUGCGCAAAGUAGGUCCGGUAGUGGCGUGGUUACGGUCGGUGUUGUAUCCGAUGCUGCCGCUGUCAGCCGGUGUUGGUCAUAAAGUCUGUGGUGCUGUGGUAGACUAGCCACCCGACCCGUCUUGAAACACGGACCAAGGAGUUUAACAUGCACGCAAGUCAAUGGGCCUCCCGAAACCCAAAGGCGAAAUGAAAGUAAAGUCUCGACUCUGUUCGAGGCGAGGUGAGAUCCUGGCGUUACUCGCACCGCU
rnacentral:rRNA from 1 species